rnacentral:rRNA from 1 species
GGAAGGGGUGUAUUUAUUAGAUAAAAAACCAACGCGGCUUGCCGCUCCCUUGGUGAUUCAUAAUAACUUGUCGAAUCGCAUGGCCUUGUGCCGGCGAUGCAUCAUUCAAAUAUCUGCCCUAUCAACUUUCGAUGGUAGGAUAGUGGCCUACCAUGGUUUCAACGGGUAACGGGGAAUAAGGGUUCGAUUCCGGAGAGGGAGCCUGAGAAACGGCUACCACAUCCAAGGAAGGCAGCAGGCGCGCAAAUUACCCAAUCCCGACACGGGGAGGUAGUGACAAUAAAUAACAAUAUAGGGCCCUUUCGGGUCUUAUAAUUGGAAUGAGUACAAUUUAAAUCCGUUAACGAGGAACAAUUGGAGGGCAAGUCUGGUGCCAGCAGCCGCGGUAAUUCCAGCUCCAAUAGCGUAUAUUAAAGUUGUUGCAGUUAAAAAGCUCGUAGUUGAACUUCAGGCCUGGCCGGGUGGUCUGCUUAACGGCAUGUACUGUCUGGCUGGGUCUUACCUCUUGGUGAGCCGGUGUGCCCUUUAUUGGUGUGCAUCGGGGAACCAGGACUUUUAC